GUAAUGGUAGCUCAGAGUCCAGAGCAUCGGUCUUGUAAUCCGAACGUCGGAAGUUAAAAUCUUCCCCAUUGCU
rnacentral:tRNA from 1 species